ACCUUGGGCGGCUCCGCACCUGCACCCGCACCCGCGGGGCUCAGCCCCGAAGGCUGCAGCUUCGGGGGAGGCGCGGUCGCCGAGGUCCAGCUGGUGGGGCGAGAGACGUCGCCCCUCGGAGGAUGCUCUCGGAACUUGGGAGAGGAAGGAGGGAAGAGAAGAGGGGAAAGGGGCCGUCGAUGUUUUUGAUGUCUGUGCUUUAAUGGAGGCCACCAAUAUUGAGAAGACGGGGUUGGCCGAGGCAGCCCGCACGCUGCUGCUUGCGAGCGCUCGAGUCAAAGCUAGGGCCAACCGCGGCUUGUCCGGGUGCCCUAAGGGGGCGGACACUUGGUUUAGCACCGGGACACAGAAUAGCCACCGGGGUAGGAAGAUGCGUUCACUUUGCUUACCUGUUGGCAAGAGGGACAUACAAAAAUAACGUAACGUGACAUCGUUGACAACGGUAGCUCUUUGAUUACACAAAAGCCAAUUUUACCUUCCCGCAAAAGCCAGUUGACGCCUUUGGAACUUUUAUUUGCGGCAUUUUGGCGCCCUCUGGCUGUGUUUGGAUCGCUUUCAUGCUCGCCUGCGUCCCAGCCAAGAAAAAAUCGAUGGAGCUGCAGGUUGUCCUCAGGAUGGUUCUGCCCUCAGGACCUGGGCGUGAAUUCAGGGACAGGGUGGCCCUCCAGAACCGGAGUGACAAACUGUAACCAUACUUAGGGAGGCAGACGUCAAAGGCAAGUACAUCUGUAUUCAACUGGGUAAAGCCAUGUGAAGACGUGCCUGCCUCCCUGUUACCUUCCACCAUGAUUGUAAGCUUCCUGAGGCCUCCCCAGCCAUGCCUGCUGUAUAGCCUGCAGAACAGUCUGCUUAACAUAAGGUUUGCAGCCAAGCGCGGCCACUCAUGCCUGUAAUCCCAGCACUUUGGGAGGCCGAGGCGGGCGGAUCAUGAGAUCAGGAGAUUGAGACCAUCCCGGCUAACACAGUGAAACCCCGUCUCUACUGAAAAUAGAAAAAAUUAACUGGGUGCGGUGGCGGGUGCCUGUAGUCCCAGUUACUUGGGAGGCUGAGGCAGGAGAAUGGCGUGAACCUGGGAGGUGGAGCUUGCAGUGAGCCAGGAUCGCGCCACUGCACUCCAGCCUGGGUGACAGAGCGAGACUCCAUCUCAAAAAAUAAUAAUAAUAAAAUAAAAUAAGGUUUGCAUAUUGGUUAUAAGCAUUUUCUCACAUCAGUCUAAUACCUUGUGGCUACUGAUUUCCUGCACUGGGAGUCAGCAGACCUCAUGGCGAUGCAAAACGUCUGCCAAUGUAUAUUAAAAGGAAACCAAGUAAGAACAGACUUUGCCGCCAUUUGGGCAACUCCUCACGUAGAUGCUUGGCAAGUAACAGUCAGAGACAGUGUGCUAUUGUUCAAAUGCACAGACUGGAUUCUGAUGAGCUGGAUUCUGAUGAAUCUCAGUUGUGCUACUAACUAACUGGAAUUAUGCAAGUCUCUAAACUUGUGUUCCCACUUCUAAACAUUGUGGGCAAUAAUAAUAUCACCUCCCACAUUGGGCUGUUGUGAAGGCUUAAAUUAGUAAGAUAAUGAAUAUGAUAAGUUUAACAUAGUACCUGGCACAUUGUAAAUUAAUGAAUAAGCAUCACCUAUUAUUACCAGCAUAAAAACUUACCAAUUAAAAAAAAGGGGGAGGGAAGACGGAUUUGAGUAAUAAUAAAAUGCUCAGAAAUAGCUCCAGUGGGACAUUGCCUUAUCCAAGCCAGCUUCAGCACCUUCCCUAAGUCCUUUCCCCAUUUCCAGCUGCAAAGAAGACUUCAGAGUCAGAAGUUUCCACUAGCUCUGAACAAGGGUUGGCAGCAGUCUCAGGGCCUCCAUCCAUCCAGCCCUCAUUGGCUCCCACCCACAUUGUGCCAAGCAGAGUAUCCACAGGAUAUGGAGUCAUCUUCCGUGGUCCCAGCUGGAUUUGAUUGCGCUGUGAUGACUUGGCUGUUGCAGAGGCUAGAUUGAAAGCAUGUCUCAACUUCACCUCUUGAAUGCAAUGCUGUUUAUAUUUGCCUAAUAUUUUUCUCCCCCUUGGGUUAUUUGAAGAUCAUGCCAAACUUUUGUUUCUUUUAACUGGAUAGAGUAUUCUAUAAAGAUAUUUUAAAGCAGUUAUUCUCAUCGACAUUUUGCAAAUCUGGAAGAGAGUUUUUAUAGCUAUACAGCCGUUCUCUCACCAUGGCCUGGCUCCACAUACAGCAAAGUGAUCCUUCUAACCCAGAUCACGCCCCCACUGUACUCCAAACCACUCACUGCCUUCAUCUUAGGAUGGAAAAUAACAUCCUCAGAUGGUUUACAAGGACUCUGCAAUGUCCCCUUGCUCCCAUGUCAUCUUCCUCCACUCUCCCCCUGCCUUUCUUGCUAGCCCUUGAAUAGCCCCAAAUAUGUUCCUGCCUUGAGGCCUUUGCACUUGCUGUUCCCUCUGCCUGGAAUGCUCUUUGCCCUACAUAUCUGCACAGCUCACUUCCUUCUGUUGUCAUUUCAAAUGUCACCUUCUCAGGCAAGCUUCUCCUGUCAUCCUACCACCUUACAUUAUAUUUUUGUUUAUUGAUUUAUUAGAUGGCUCCUGCAUUACAAUGUAAAGUAGGUAACACGAUGGCCUUGGCUGGCAGGGCUCACGCCUGUAAUCCCAGCACUUUAGGAAGAAGAGGUGGGCAGAUCACCUGAGGUCAGGAGUUCAAUACCAGCCUGGCUAACAUGGUGAAAUCCCGUCUCUACUAAAGAUACAAAAAUUAGCCAGGGGUUCUGAGGGGGCACCUGUAAUCCCAACUACUCGGGAGGCUGAGGCACGAGAAUUGCUUGAACCCGGGAAGCAGAGGUUGCAGUGAGAUGAAAUCGCACCACUGCACUCUAGCCUGGGCGACAGAGCAAGACUCUGUCUCAAAAAAAAAAAAAAAAAAUGUCCUUGGCUUUAUUCACCACUGAAUCACCAGCACCUAGAGCCCUGAAGACACGGGUCUCAAUACAUAUUUAUUGAAUGUGAAAGGACUGACCUCCAAGAGAUUCAACAGCAAGCAGGUCUCUCAUUCUGACUGAAGAUUUACUCAUCCAAUUCAUUCAUUGCUAAUGUCUUCUUUAUCAGUCUAGUUAUCAUUUUUUUUAAGCGAAAGCAAGUUUAUUAAGAAAAUGAAGGAAUAAAAGAAUGGCUACUCCACAGGCAGAACAGGCAGUCUAGUUAUCAUUCUUAACUUUCUUGUAUACUUAAAAAUUUCCUUCUGUGCUUCCCACACAUGACUCCAGAUUUCUUUCCUCACCAAUAUUCUGGGAUACUUUAUAUCACCUUCUACUCCCUGACCCAUUUUUACAAUCGUCUGCAGAACACUACUUAACAAAUUGUACAAAGACAUCUAGCCUUACAAAUGCCUCUAUAGAUCAAAAUGUUUUCCAGGGCCGGGAUUAAGAAAAAAAAUGUGGGCUGGACGCAAUGGCUCACGCCUGUAAUCCCAACAUUUUGGGAGGCCGAGGCAGGUGGAUCACCUGAGGCCAGGAGAUCGAGACCAUCCUGGCUAACACGGUGAAACCCCGUUCUACUAAAAAUACAAAAAAUUACCUGGGCGUGGUGGCACGCGCCUGUAGUCCCAGCUACUCAGGAGGCUGAGGCAAGAGAAACGCUUGAACCUGGGAGGUGGAGGUUUCAGCAAGCUGAGAUCACGCCACUGCACUCCAGCCUGGGAAACAGAGCAAAACUUAGGAAAAAAAAAAAAGAGGCGAGGGGGAAAGAAGGAAGGAAGGAAGGAGAAAGAAAGAGAGAAAGAAAAUGCUUUUGGUUGGGCAUGCAGUGACUUGCACCUGUAAUUCCAACACUUUGGGAGGGAGGGGUGGGAGGAUCACUUGAAGUCAGCAGUUCAAGACCAGCCUGGGAAACAGAGAGCUCCUGUCUCUACAAAAAAUUAACAAAAUUAGCUGGGCAUGGUGACACGCACCUGUGGUCUUAGCUACUCGAGAGGCUGAGGUGGGAGAAUCACUUGAGCCAGAGAGGUCAAGGUGGCAGUGAGCCAAGAUCAGCCAUUGCAUUCCAGCCUGGGUGACAGAGCAAGACCCUAAAAAAAAAAAAAAAAAAGAAGAAGAAGAAGAAAAGAAAAAGAAAAAAAAAUGCUCCUUAGCAGCACACAACCUCACCUCAUAAGGUUUCAGAUCACUUCUCCCACCCACACCCCCACCGCCCCCCGCAAAGUGCCCCCACUGUAACAACAGAUAUAUGAUUUUGCACUUUCCGUCAUCUUGACCCACAUAGGUAGCAACCCUUCUUUGGAUUCUGCUGCAGCAUUGUGGUGGUCCCCUGAAACUAAGGGGUAAAACGUGCUUCCAGCAAGAUGCAUGAUCUCUACACAAACCAACAAAUCCUGCUGCUAAAAAGCCAAGAGGUUGGAUGUCUGUAUCGAGUUGUGGCUUGCUUUUCUGUUCUUUCUUAAAAGUAUUGACAAAGCAGAAGGUCAGUGCUAUUAUGGAAUUUACAUUUCUAUGAGAAAGAUAAGGAGGAAGCAGGAUGAAAAUGCUGACAGGGUUCCAUUGUAAAAGGGAAGAACGCUGAGAAAGAGAAGCUUGCCCUGAGACCAUUUUCAAAUAAUAAUAAUAAACUCAUCAGCAAGAAGGAUAACAAAGAGAACAAAGAAAUCUGGAAGAAAUGAAAAUAAUGGAAUUCACUUUGAUUUUAUGGCUUUAAUGCAUAAUAAACAUGCUAGAAAAUAUCAAGUCUAACCCACACUGGUCCUUGGCUCCCUGUUUCUUCCACUCUUCUUUUCUUUUUUUUUUUUUUAAACAGAGUUUUGCUCUUGUUGCCCAGGCUGG
rnacentral:lncRNA from 1 species